rnacentral:rRNA from 1 species
UACGUAGGGGGCAAGCGUUGUCCGGAUUUAUUGGGCGUAAAGAGCGUGUAGGCGGCCAGAUAGGUCGGUUGUGAAAACUGGAUGGCUCAACCUCCAGACGUCGACCGAAACCAUCCGGCUAGAGUCCGGAAGAGGAGAAUGGAAUUCCUGGUGUAGCGGUGAAAUGCGCAGAUAUCAGGAAGAACACCCGUGGCGAAGGCGGUUCUCUGGGACGGUACUGACGCUGAGACGCGAAAGCGUGGGGAGCGAACAGG